AAACUGAAGAGUUUGAUCAUGGCUCAGAUUGAACGUUGGCGGCAGGCCUAAUACAUGCAAGUCGAACGAGAAAGGCCCUUCGGGGUUGAGUAAAGUGGCGGACGGGUGAGUAACGCGUAGGAAUCUACCCAGUAGUUGGGGACAACCCGAGGAAACUCGGGCUAAUACCGAAUACGAUCUAAGGAUGAAAGAGGGCCUCUAUUUAUAAGCUCUCGCUAUUGGAGGAGCCUGCGUUGGAUUAGCUUGUUGGUGGGGUAAUGGCUCACCAAGGCUACGAUCUAUAGCUGGUCUGAGAGGACGAUCAGCCA
rnacentral:rRNA from 1 species